GGAGGUGUGGCUAAGUUGGUAGAGUGUUUGCCUUGCAUGCUCAAAACUCUGGGUUUGACUUCCAGAACUGCCG
rnacentral:tRNA from 1 species